UUGCUUCCUUUCCUUUUGCCCAACUUUGGGAAAACCACAAUUGCCAGUGUUGGGGCAAAGCUCUUUCAAAGGGUCGCUCAGCAAAGAUCAAGAGGGUGAGCCGUUCGCCCGGCAGCCGGCAGGGGGCAGCCUGGUCCAGGUGGGCCUGUAACCACCAUCCUGCUCCCUCCCUUUCCGGCCUGGGGCUCCUAGCUAUUGCCAUGGAGACGGAGCUUGGGUGGCAACCGUCACUAGGGAGCGCGGACAGAAGACGCUGGGCCGCUUGGGAAUCCCAGAGGCAGGACGACGACCCAGGGCUUUUGAGGAACGAAGUGGGUGCCCCCCCUCCCUGAAGGGACCAGAGCUGCCGCUGUGCAUUUCAAUACGUUAACACAUCGGGAAACGAAAGGAGAAAGCAGAAGGACUGCUGAGUCUGUGUCAGAAUUUUUCUAGAGGAAACUACAGAAGAAUGUCAGAUGCAGAAGAAAGUGUUGAAACAGAAAAAGAAGAAGAGGAAUAUAAUCCAAAUUAUGAAGAAGAAAAUCUGCAACAGAGCCUAACUGAAGACACAUCAUCAUGGGAGGAGUCCCAGGAGGAGGCGGGGUUGGAAGGGAAAUGGAUGGAGGAGGAGGAACAGGUAGAAGAAGGAGAAGCAGCAAGAGGAAAGGAAGAGAAAGGGGAGGAAGAGGACGUAAGAGGGGAAGAAGAGGAAAUGAGAGGGGAGGAAGAGGAAAUGAGAGGGGAGGAAGAAGAAAGAGGUGAGGAAGAGGAAAUGGGAGAUGAAGAAAGAGGUGAGGAAGAGGAAAUGGGAGAUGAAGAAAGAGGUGAGGAAGAGGAAAUGGGAGAGGAGGAAGAAGAAAGAGGUGAGGAAGAGGAAAUGGGAGAGGAGGAAGAAGAAAGAGGUGAGGAAGAGGAAAUGGGAGAGGAGGAAGAAGAAAGAGGUGAGGAAGAGGAAAUGGGAGAGGAGGAAGAAGAAAGAGGUGAGGAAGAGGAAAUGGGAGAGGAGGAAGAAGAAAGAGGUGAGGAAGAGGAAAUGGGAGAGGAGGGGGGGAGAUGGGAGGGAAAGGAAAAAGGUGAAGAAAAAGGAGAAGGAAAGGGAAUUGAAAAAGAGGAAAGUGAGGAAAAGGGAGGUGAGGAAGAGGACAGGGAGGAGGAGGAGGAACAUACAGCAGAAAGACAGGAGGAACAAGAGGAGGACGAGGGAGAUAUUGUCAUAAAAGAAAUUGAGGAAAAAAUUGGAAAAGUCCAUGAAGAAAUAACAAAGAAGUCUAAAAAAACAUUAAAUUUAGAUGAUCUUGUCAUCAGCUCUGAGUCGUCCACAUCAGCAUCUUCAGUGAUUGAAACCUCAGAAAGUAGCAAGUCCUCCUCACACUCCCAAAGUCCUGAAGUAAGCGAGAUUUUCAGAGAUAAUGGUACAGGGUUUGAAGUUACUAAGGCUGUCAAGUCUGAGGAGGAAAAGAUCGAUUCUCUCAGGAGGAAGUCAUCAAAGGAAGUUGAGAAAACGGGCCAGAAGGCAGAAGGUGUUUCAGCCCAAGAAUGGAGAGGCACAGAACCAAAACAGGAAGAGGAGAGACAGAAAUCAUCCCAAGCCGAAACCGGGAGUUCCCAGGAGUCACUGGUGUCCACCUCCACAGAGGACACCUUGUUCCAGAAAGAGGAGGGCUCCAAGGUGUAUCCUUUGACCAUGACCUGGUCCUUUGGAUGGAACAGUUUCCUCCCUGUCUAUUAUCUCCGGGAGAACCAGAGAGUCCUUCUCUACGCCUGUGCCCACACCGCCGUCAUCUACAACGUCUUCAGGAAUACACAGUACCACCUUCAGGGCCACCCCAACAUCAUCUCCUGCCUCUGUGUCAGCGAAGACAGGCGAUGGAUUGCCACAGCAGACAAAGGACCAGACUGCCUCAUAAUCAUAUGGGACUCCUUCACAGGAAUCCCUGUGCACACCAUAUUUGACAGCUGUCCGGAAGGUAAUGGCAUAAGGUCCAUAACUAUCUCCCGUGACUCCAAGUUUCUGGCUACCAUCUCAGAUGCUGAAGUCCAGAAAGUGUGCAUCUGGAAGUGGACUUUGGCAGUGGAGACACCUGCAUGCACUCUCGACCUUCCCAAAGAGUAUGGUCUCCAGAGUCACCUCACCUUUAACCCAGUGAACAAUAAAGAAAUGGUGAGCAACAGCCAGACACAGGCGGUCUACUAUCACUGGUUUGAAGAGAAGGGUAUCCUUGCUCACAGUGCCCCAGUUUUAACAGAGAAAACAUUCAACAAACUUGUGGGAAAAUUUAGCCAAUCCGUCUUUCACUUGAAGUUAUCACAAAUACUGUCAGCCACAAAGGAAGGGAAGCUGGUUGUCUGGGACAUCCACUACCCGCCUUCCUCCUCCUCCACGUUGGCUCUUCCCUUCAUCAAGCCUUGUAAAUUGGUCCAUCUACAGAAGGAAGGCAUCACCGUCCUCACCACAGUCGAUAGCUACAUCGUCAUAGGUGACAUUAAGGGCAACAUUAAGUUCUAUGAUCACACCCUGUCUGUUGUCAACUGGUACAGUACCUUCAAACUAGGUGCCAUAAGGACUCUGUCCUUUUCAAAGACCCUGGCAAGUGCACCCACAGAGAGGUCCAACCUCCCCACAGACUGCACCUUAAAGGGGGACCUUUUCGUCAUCAGGAAUUUUAUUAUUGGAACAUUUGAUGCCACCGUGUACCACAUGACGGCAGAUGGUACCAGACUUGAGAAGCUCUUUGUGGAGCCCAGGGAUGCCGUGUAUGCCAUCUCCUGCCACCCGUACCAACCCCUCAUCGCUGUCGGGAGUGUCUGUGGGAUGAUCAAGGUGUGGGAUUAUGAAAAGAAGGUGUAUCUGUUCAGCAGGGCCUUUGAGAAGGGGCUUGGAGUCCAGAGUCUGACCUACAACCCCGAAGGAGCCCUGCUUGGAGCUGGAUUCACCGAGGGGACAGUUUAUAUUCUCGAUGCGAUGUCACUAGAAAAUGAAAGUCCAGAGCCCUUCAAAUAUUCCAGAACUAGCAUAUCUCACGUCAGCUUUUCGCACGACUCCAAGUACAUGGCGACUGCUGAUGCCAGUUUCACUGUGGCCGUGUAUAUGGUGGUGGUCAAAAACGGACAGAGGGUCUGGGAAUACCUGGCGAGACUCCGCUCUCAUCAGAGCACCAUUCGAAGCCUCCUAUUUGGGGUUCACCUGGACAGCAACGAGCCCAGGCUGCUGAGCCUCGGGAAAGACAGGUUCCUGAUAGAGUAUAAUCUUGUCAAGAGCUACAAAGACCACUUGGAAGUCCUGGACAUUCAUCGAACAGGCCAGGGGAGCUACCCCACCUGCAUGAUCUGGUACCCUCCGCUCACCAAGGAGCUGUUCCUCCUCAUCUGCAACAGCUGCUACAAGGUGAAACUCUUCAAUUCCACCACAAAGAUGUGCAGAAAGACACUUCUCGGACCAGCUUAUGGGUCUCCUAUUGAGCACACACAGGUGCUCCCGGUGAAAUCCACACUAGAGCUGCAGAAGCGCUACUUAGUAUUCAUCAAUAAAGACAAGGUUGGACUCCAGAUCUUACCUGUUGACGGCAACCCGCACAAAACAUGUGCUAUUAUUUGCCACCCGAAUGGGGUGGCUGGAAUGGCCCUUUCCUAUGAUGGUCGCUAUGCCUUCACAGCAGGAGGCCAAGAUUGCUCAGUGCUACAGUGGGAAAUCAACUUAAGUGCCCUGGAUGCAGCCGUUUCUCUUGGGGGUGAAGACUUGACCCCUUUCUACGGUCUGGUGUCUGGUGGCAGAGAAGGAAAAUUCUAUAGGGAGCUGGAGGACUAUUUCUACUAUUCUCAGAUCCGCAGUCAAGGCAUUGACACGAUGGAGACCAGGCAGGUGUCGGAGCACAUCUGCCUGUCGGAGCUCCCUUUCGUCAUGAGAGCGAUUGGCUUCUACCCAUCAGAGGAGAUGGAGACGUCCCUCCCCCUCCGAGGUCCAUCACCGCUUGCUUCGUUCAUUCACUCACAUAUUCAUUCAUGUGAGGCCGGGCUCUGUCUACACAGCAGCAGAGGAAGUAGAGUUGAGAGCCACUUCUGCAGUUUCCCAGGGGAACAGAUGCAAACCCAAAGGACCAGCUGCCACCUGCCCUCGCCCUGCUGAAAGCCACAGGCUUGGUGCUGACUUUCCGGCACGAAUGUCACCUUUGUGGAACCCUCCCCCGCUGAACAGCGGCUCUAAGCUUAGAGUCUCCUGAGGAUGUGCAAACACUCUAUUCCCAUCCCCAACUCCUGGCUCACUGAGUCAGUGGGAGUGCCCACUUGUUAACAAGGCCUUUCAGCCUGAGCAGUUGGAGAACCCUCGCCUUGGAGACAGGCUUCACAAUCUCAGUCAUACUUCACAUAGUGUGACUGACUCUGUGCCCGAACUAAUGAAAUCGGGGUCUCUGGCCACAGGAGCUGCCCUCAGGACUUGGGAAAGCUCUCCAUGCUGAUGGACUGGCCCCCUGCCUCAGCGGAUGACGGACUAGGGGAGAAUACCACAGAAGGCCCGGCUGACGACAGCAAAGCAUUCUAUGUGAUCAUCUGGGCCACCUGAAUCUCCAGAGUCGCCUCCACUCCAGGGCAUACCGAAGAGGCUGGGUGGGACACUCCUAUCCCUACAGUGCUCCUCCUGAGCAGGAACCUCGUUUUGACAUGCCACAGAACCUGCCAGCAGACAGGCCCAGGAAGCAAUUGGGGGGUGCCAAGCUGCCAACUUAUUAUGUGUGAAUGAUGUGUACUUGUGGAGGUCAGAGGACAACUUUCUAGAUUCAGUCUCUCACCAGGGAUUGAACUCAAGAAGCCAGGCUGCUGCAGCAAGCCCUCUUACACUCUGAGCCAUGUCGACAGCCCAAGCAGUGAUUGCUAGAGAGGAAGAAGCAAAUCACCUGAGUGGUUUGUGCUGCCGAUGCUUGUGAGACCUUGGGACUCUCUGGAUUGAUGACAUGUUUAAUGAGAUCAAGUUUAGCGAAUACGUGGACACUGGGAGGCUGAUCGACAAAAUCAACUUACCGGAUUUCCUCAAAGUUUAUCUCAAUCAUAGGCCACCUUUUGGGAAC